CUCAAAUGAAUUGACGGGGGCCCGCACAAGCGGUGGAGUAUGUGGUUAAUUCGAUGCAACGCGAAGAACUUACCUGGUCUUGACAUCCCGGAGACCCUUAGGAAACUAGGGGGUGCUUCCAUCUGGAAGAAUCUGGAGACAGGUGCUGCAUGGCUGUCGUCAGCUCGUGUCGUGAGAUGUUGGGUUAAGUCCCGCAACGAGCGCAACCCUUGCCUUUAGUUGCCAGCAGUUCGGCUGGGCACUCUAAAGGGACUGCCGGUGUUAAACCGGAGGAAGGUGGGGAUGACGUCAAGUCCUCAUGGCCUUUAUGACCAGGGCUACACACGUACUACAAUGGCCGAUACAAAGGGCAGCGACACUGCGAGGUGAAGCCAAUCCCGUAAAAUCGGUCUCAGUCCGGAUUGGAGUCUGCAACUCGACUGCGUGAAGUCGGAAUCGCUAGUAAUCGUGAAUCAGAAUGUCACGGUGAAUACGUUCCCGGGCCUU
rnacentral:rRNA from 1 species